rnacentral:rRNA from 1 species
AACGAACGCUGGCGGCAGGCCUAACACAUGCAAGUCGAGCGAGACCUUCGGGUCUAGCGGCGGACGGGUGAGUAACGCGUGGGAACGUGCCUUUUGCUUCGGAAUAGCCCCGGGAAACUGGGAGUAAUACCGAAUGUGCUCUACGGAGGAAAGAUUUAUCGGCAAAGGAUCGGCCCGCGUUGGAUUAGGUAGUUGGUGGGGUAAUGGCCUACCAAGCCGACGAUCCAUAGCUGGUUUGAGAGGAUGAUCAGCCACACUGGGACUGAGACACGGCCCAGACUCCUACGGGAGGCAGCAGUGGGGAAUCUUAGACAAUGGGGGAAACCCUGAUCUAGCCAUGCCGCGUGAGCGACGAAGGCCUUAGGGUUGUAAAGCUCUUUCAGUGGGGAAGAUGAUGACGGUACCCACAGAAGAAGCCCCGGCUAACUCCGUGCCAGCCGCCGCCGUAAUAC